CGGGCUCUCCUCUCUCCCUCUCCUCCCGAUCCCAGCCGCCAGGAGGCGCACGACCUGCGCGACGCUCGAUCCGGUGCCGUGCCGGCCAAUGGCCGACGCCGGUGAUCGGAGCACACUACACCACAGGUCUGCCUCAGCUCCUCCUUUCCUUCGCGCGCCCUACCUCCUCGCUGCACGCCGCGCGGGAGGGCUCGCGCUCGCCGCUCGACCAGAGCCACCGCCAGCUAGUCCGGUUCCACGCCGGCCGCCGGCCGAUGGCCGACGGAGGUGUUCGAAGCAUCCUACACCACCAGUCUUCUUCGUCUCCUCCUUUCGUUUGCAUGCCCGAGCUCCUUGCUGUACGCCGCCCGGGAGGGCUCGUGCUCGCCGCUCGACCAGAGCCACCGCCAGUUGGUCGUUGCUGCACUUGCCCGCGACCCCUCCGCCCCCUCUACACCGCCCUCCACCUCAACUUCAGACGCACAUGUGUUUGUGGAUGUUCUCAGUUAUUUUUUGCACACAAGGUGUUUGUGUGUUUGUCCCAGCCAGUUUCAGUCACAGAUCCUUGAGUGAAGUAGCCACCGAGCAGUAAGGCCAUCGAGUGACACAAGACUGUGGGACAGCGUGAGAAGAAGCAGAGGGGUGUCUGGCGGGAUGGGGAAGACCACGAGGAAGUGUGGCGAUGGAGUGCAAUCCCAAAGAAGAAGAACAUUGCAAAGAAAGACCCUAGCCAAGCGCCACCCAAUUCUCUCUCACCGACCCAUCUAAUGGCCAUCAAUUCAAUUGGUCCAAGUUGUUGCGUUGACCUUCCCAUUGAUCCACUACAUCCACGCUCAGCUGCUUCUGCUAUGCUUCUUCUCCAUGGCAUUGCCGACUGCCAGCGUGCCUGACAUCGCGCCUUAUGUGACCUGAUAUGAUGCUCCUCUACGUGUUCUUAUCACCCCGGUUUCCAUGAGGAGAGAUGUUCUGUGGUUCUGUAGCUCUACUCCAUAGUAAUGAUGGAGUCUCCUCCAGAUGGAUAGCAAUUAUCUCGGGAUCAUGGUGAGGUUACUGACCCGACCCUUCAUUUGGCUCUGUUCGUGUGGAUAUAUUCAUGUGCAUCGGUAAACUUUAUUUAGGUACAACUAUUUGUUCUAGCGCUUGUGUUUAUUAUUUUUGUAAAAAGAAGAUUUCUUGAUCUCAUUAAAUUGGGGUUUUAUGUUGACAUGAAAUUCUAACUGAAUUUGCUAUUCAGCUGACAAUUCCAACAAUUUUUUGUAUUGUAUUUGCAUGUACAGAGCUGUCUAAGCAACGGCCAGGGGGCAUAUGCUUAUCCUAUCACUAACAUCUUCAUCCUAUUUGAGCCAGAAUAGCUUUGGUGCCCUCUCUCACUCAUGGUGAGACCAUGCGUGUUUGCCAUGGUUGUGGCUACGAAAUCUCAGACUGAGUCGCUUUGGUCGGGCACUAUUCAGGAAAUAUGACAGCGAAGACGGCCUCCAUGCCUCUCGAUCGAGUAAAUCUCUCCUGGCCUUCAGGAGGCUGCUGGAAAUCAACCACCGCGAGGUCCUCAAGGAGCUCUACCGCAGGAAAAUCAACAACGUUCGAUACGUAUUCUGUUCCAAAGCUAUCUACUUCAUGGUGUACGAGAAGUACCGCAGCUGGCUCCUAGGCACUAUUCCCUCGCUCGGCGGCAGCCUGGUCAGGACUUGCUUGUCGGGUCGGCCGCGACGGCACAUCCCCAAUAGAUACGUAUCCCCUCAACUCGCCUUCUGUCACAGUUUGCUUGGUACCCUCACUAAUACAUGUUCGAUCUGAUAUAUGUUAUGACAAUCUGAAGCGCGUCGGGCCAUGGACAAUGUUCGAUAAAGCGGCCAUUACUAGCGACAUGAUGGAGUACAUCCGCUCCCCAUGUAUGACAUAUUGUAGGCAUUGGCCACAAUCCUUGAAUUGACUAGAAACACAGGAGACCUGUAGUUUAAGAUGAUGCUCGUCUAUGCCUUUUUGGUCUAACUCUGAAAUCCAUCAGUACCUCUAGUUAGCCAAGGACGAGGUUGAAUUUUCGUUGCCUCAGAUUUGAUGUAGCGUGUUGGCAUUGCUAACUUACCCAUAACACAUGGUCAAUCGAGUUUCAUUUUGGUAUUGUGAGUCUAGGAGCGCACAUGCACUAUGUUUACUGGACAUCGAAGAGGGGCUGCCUUUGCACGUCAUGGGUUUCGGAUUGAAGGAAAAUUGGGCUGGACUGUUCUGCUCAUGUUAAUUGAUGGAGCUAAAUGUAUUGCCUGGCGGAAGAUUAGUAUAAUAGAAAAAUGGGGUAGGGUUGCUCGUCCGUUCCGUAUAGGUAAGGUUUGUAAUUUGGAAUACCGAGCAAGUUCUCAAGUAGUGACACCCUGAAGUUUCAUUCUAAUUUCAUCAGGUGUUUGGUGCAUGAGGAGAUUUUUCAUAGUAAUCAUAACACUUCCUUUCCAUACAGCAAGAUGAAACUAAAUAUUUUGUUCAUAGUAAUCAUACCUAUUCCUUUCAAGCUGAAACUAGACACAUCCUCAUCAGGUAAAUUGAUUCAUGUUCUUACUUCAUGUCCAGACAGCAAGACGAAACUAAAUACUUUUGCUAGCGUAUUUGUUGGAUCUUGAUUUUCGUAUAUGUUUAGAUUUGGCUUACACAUGUUGAAGAACCAGAUUCAGAGUAUUGCCAAGGGAUAGCCCAACGUCUUCUUGUGAAACUAGAUUAAUUGUACAAGAUUGAAUGUGACAAAACAUUAUACAUGAUAAUCGUUUCUUUGAAGUUUGAAGGUGGCACAUGACAUCUUUUCAAUUAUAUAUUCAUUUAAUUCAGUUGGAGAGGAAUAAAUUAUGUUAAGAAUCAGUACCAUGAUAUUUUAGUAUGAUUGGUCCUUUUGGAGUACAUUCAUAACACAAAAGAAUUGUUUGGUGGCCUCAUACAUUUUUCUCGUGCCUACCUUUGCAGCACAUCAGUGACAACAUGCUUGGCCAUAUGUCUCAAUUUCGGUGUCUGAAAGCACAAGAUUAGAUGACUUUUCAGAUGAUCGGAGACACGAACCAGAAUCCAAGAUACGAAUACGCAAUUUAGAACCUUUAUGUGGUGUGAACAAGAUGAACAACAGAAGAGAAUGGUGAGGGAAUCGGAAUUAAAUGGAAAACAGGGUUAGCGACUCAGAUCAGCGACAUGAACUCCUCGAUUUUCCCUAUUGUAUUAGCCCAAGUACGGAGUAUCUUUAUCCUGCUCUCGCCAGUGGGAUACGAAACGCACUCUUCCAUCCAGUUCCUCCACCCGGUCAACCCAAGUACAUUGCAAACGAUGUUUGCUUGUAGGGAAGCAUCAUUGAAUUAAAUGUAUUUACGAGUUAUAAAUGUUAAGUAUGUGGAUACUUUUCCCCCGUUGCAACGCACGGGCAUUUUGUAUUGGGUUGUCCUGGUGUUGCAACCUAGGAAGUACAAACAGGGUCCGUCGUCACCAUAGAUGAAAACCUUGUCGAGCCUUACUUUUUGCAGGUUGCCUUAUUUCUGUUUCUUUUAGAGAAAAGAUAGCAAUUUCGUUCAUUACAAUCCUGUUGCACGGA